CCCAUCUCUCAGAAGUCCAGAUAGGGCAUAGCCCCUCACAUCAAGAGGUUGUUCAACUUUAGGAACAUCCUAUUCUUCUCAGUACAAAAAUGGGAUGUCCUAUUACAGACCAGUCUAGGAUUUAAGAGAAGUUAACCCAUGAAUCGUAUCUCUGUACUCUACCAUUCUCAACCCAUAUACCCUCCUGAGUUUGCUGUCUCCUGAGCACCAAGUAUAUACUGUGCUAGAUUUAAAAGAUAUUUUUUCAGUCUGCCUCUUUCCUCAGCUAGCCAGCCUAUAUUUGCCUUCUAAUGGACUGACCCAGCUUCCAAUGAUUCUUGGCAACUCAUUUGGACCUGGCUCCCUCAAGGAUUCAAGAAUGCAACCACUCUGUUCUGUGAGGCCUUCCAGAAGGACUUAUUUGUUGAGUUUUUGAUCCCAUGACCCUAACCUCACCUUGCUUCAAUAUGUGGAAGAUCUGUUGUUAGCUGCUGCCAUUUGUUCAGAAUGCCUUCAGGAAACAAGAGCUCCUACAAUUGCUAGAGGAGUUGGGCUAAUGUGUCUUGGCUAAAAAGGCACAACUCUGUGCUUCCCAUGCAUCGUACCUGUGGUAUGAGACCUCAAAAGGAAGAAAAACUUUGUCUCAGGCAAGGAAAUGGGCCAUUCUCCAGAUACCCAUGCCAACUACCAAGAAACAGGUACAAGAAUUUCUAGGUGCAGCUGGAUACUGUGGCCUCUGGAUACCUGGGUUUGCCAAGAUAGUACAGCCCUGAAAUCAACCCCUAGAGUGGAGAAGAAAAGAAGAAAAGGUGUUCCAGGAUUUAAAACAAGCUCUGGUGUCAGCCCCGACUCUGGUGUUGCCUGGCAUCAAUCACCAAACUGUUCCAACUGUUCACUCAUGAGGUUCUCAGUCUGGCAACACUGAUGCCACAUGAUGACCCCAAUACCCCAAUGCAUGACUGUGAGGAGGUGUUGGACCACACCUAGGGAGGCUGCUCAGACCUAAUGGACAUCCCCCAGCUGAGGCUGACACCACUCUCUUCACUGAUGGAAGUAGCAUGGUGAACAAAAUUCAUGGCACAGCUGUACCAAGUAUUGGAGGCUGGCAAGAUCAGGAUAUUCAAGAGUUCCAUUGGCAUGGUGAAUCUGGUUGACAUGGUGCGAUGACUGAAAACUUGAAGGCAGUCUUGCUGGCUUCCACUCCUCACCUCCACAGGGAAAGUCCUUAAGUCACAUCUGCAGGGCCCUGUCCUGGCUCCAUGACUUUGAGCAGAAGAAACAGCAAGAAGAGGCCCACUGUCUCCUUGAACCUGAAGCCGGCCCCUCGCCUGAGGGGCAGACUUGCAUCCUGCAAUCUUGUCUUCCUGCCAAGCAUCCCCCACCACUCUGAGACCUACACAAGAGCCAGACUGGGUCACCAAGUUUGUGCAGAGGAAGGAAGGAAGGGACCUGGCAGAGCAAGUGAAGGCCUGCAUCAUAGACCGAGCAGAUGGGUACUGGAACCUGACUACAGGGGUCUUCAGGAGGUAUCAGGUCAGGCUGAAUGAAGAAAGCCCAGAGGAAAAGUCUGGAAAAUUGGCAGGAGUCAAAACCACAUUGUAACAAGCAUCCACAAUAAUCUUAAUAACUAUGAAACUUGUGACCAGGUUAAUUGGUUUUAUUUCAACUAAUUCUAUUUCUAUAUAUCAAUGUGUCUUUAGUGUUGUAUACAUCAUUGUAAAAUAUUUCAAGCACAGUAGACUGUGUAAACAAAAA
rnacentral:lncRNA from 1 species